GGACUACACGGGUUUCUAAUCCUGUUUGCUCCCCACGCUUUCGCGCCUCAGCGUCAGUUACAGACCAAAGAGCCGCCUUCGCCACUGGUGUUCCUCCAUAUCUCUGCGCAUUUCACCGCUACACAUGGAAUUCCGCUCUUCUCUUCUGCACUCAAGUCCCCCAGUUUCCAAUGACCCUCCCCGGUUAAGCCGGGGGCUUUCACAUCAGACUUAAGGGACCGCCUGCGCGCGCUUUACGCCCAAUAAUUCCGGACAACGCUUGCCACCUACGUAUUACCGCGGCGGCUGGCACC
rnacentral:misc_RNA from 1 species